rnacentral:piRNA from 1 species
CAGGAACCAUACAUUUUGUUGAGCCUCCUG